CACACACAGUACUCACUCAGUUUCCGCAUGCUCAUGGUGUGGCUGCAGUGUGGCUAAAAGAUCAGCUUCAGGUUGGGUGAUAAAUGGAUCAUCUGUGUGGGGAUGCAGUCGAACAGAGGAGGGAGAGCCAGACAGGAAACUGGUGCGGGGAUAGUGUGAGAGACAUGAUGACACUGAAUCCAAAGCUACGUGUAUGUCUGCAGUGCUGUGCAGCUUCUGGGACCAGGAGCACUCCUGACGAGAUCCAGACAGAAUCAUCACACACAGAGCUUCCCAACUCCUCAUCAUUCAGCUCUCAGAGGAAUAUAACAGAUCAGCUCUCAUGUAUACACACCUCUGCACAUAAUGUAGGGGGAGGGUAGUAAAGACAAAGGGAUGCAUAGAGGCCAUGAGUCUUCAUUCAGAGCACUGUGCAGGUACCAUUAGAUAGAAGUGUAAUCAGGCCUAACAACAAAGACAUGAUACUCUCACCCCAGCAGUGGUCAUGCUGCAAUUUGAGCUGAACAAGAGCACUUACCAAGGUUUAAAGAAGCAAAUAUAUAUAUUAUAAAACAUCCCAGUGAAGUAAUCCCUUUCAUUACUUAUGACCCACUGCUUCUGAUAGCUUACUUCCUGCUCUAUAAGGAAAUAUUUAUAACAUACUGCCCUAAAAGCAACCCACAGGUCCCAGAUAGCCAUGAUUAAGUAAAAACUGAAUUGCUUUGGACACAAAAUAUUCAUUGUCGGUAUAAAAUCAAAACACUUCCUGUUUUCCUUUCUUCCUCUCCCUGUUGCACACAAAAACACACUCGCCGUGCCAGCUUAAUCUUUCCUUAUUCUCUCAGCAUCCACUCAGCUGGCACAGACCAUGACCCAGUCAACAUGCAACAGUCGUACUGAACUUCAAACAGGAGGACGUAUGGAGGAAUAUCACAAAGAGAGGAAAAUGGGAGUGGAAAGGGAGAGGCAGAGAGUGUGUGUGCGUGUGUGUAAAGACAGAAACCAAGAAACACAAAGAGAGAGAGAGAGAGAGAGAGAGAGAGAGAAAGAGACAGAGAAAGGGAGAGAGAGCAAAAUUGAAAAACAAAGAGAGGAAGACAGCAGAUGGUGUCAGGGAUCAUUGUGAGUGUGACGCCUGCCAAAUCAAAACACAGCUUGACAAUAUUUUUUCACUUAUCACUUAUUUCUUAUCUCAUUCUGUGGUACUUUUACCAUUACCAUUCCAGUAUCUAUCUAUCUAUCUAUCUAUCUAUCUAUCUAUCUAUCUAUCUAUCUAUCUAUCUAUCUAUCUAUCUAUAAACAAAGAUUUGAACAUCUGCAGUUCUACGACAACCGGGCAACUCCAUCUGCAGAGAAACACCAUGUGAUAUGGUAAAAAGCUCUGGAACAGCUGCCAAUGGUCCGUGUCGUCAGAUAGUUUUCUCACUUUAAGACUAAGACUUCAACCCUGUGUUUUGCACCUUGCUCCUUUUAUAUAAAUAAAAUCAAUUUUCAGGUUGUCGCAUGAGCUGUAAUCACACCAGCGGUUCAACUUGCUGGAAAGGAUAACGUUCUCUCUGUUUUGAAAUUCAUGAAAUAUGUCAGGAGCUAACCAUGCACAUUUGCAUAAUUCUGCAUUGUAACUCUUGUAUGUAACAACACAGAAGGAAUGCUUUUGAGCAAAUCCUUUCUCAUCUUCUUCAGGAUUUAUUUAUCUGUUUUAUUUAUUUUGUGCUCCAGAUUUUCAGAAUCAUUUAUUAUGGCAUCUCUAACAUACUCCAUUUGUCUAAUAGUGAUUAUUAAGCUUGUAUCCUGCACUAUGACCCAAUUUCUACAAGCAGAUCAUAAAUGUUUCAUCUGCUCUGCCAUAAAGCUACUCCAUCAUA